UACGAAGGGUGCUAGCGUUGUUCGGAAUUACUGGGCGUAAAGGGCGCGUAGGCGGCUUGGCAAGUUGGAUGUGAAAGCCCAGGGCUCAACCCUGGAACUGCAUUCAAGACUGCCUUGCUUGAAUUCGGUAGAGGUUGGUGGAAUUCCCAGUGUAGAGGUGAAAUUCGUAGAGAUUGGGAAGAACACCCGUGGCGAAGGCGGCCAACUGGACCGACAUUGACGCUGAGGCGCGAAAGCGUGGGGAUCAAACAGG
rnacentral:rRNA from 1 species